CAACACUACUAGCAAUCCAUUCUUUUCUAACAAUAAGGGCCCGUUUGUUUUGGUGUAAGUGGAGUGAUGGAACUCAAAUUCCAUCACUUUCGUUAUUUGUUUUGAUGUAAGUGAAAAAUAUAAUAUAACUCAAGUUACGUUAGAGCUCCACUUCACCUACUCUCGACUUCCUCCUCUAAAGUGCCGAACUCGACUUUCACUACACUCAACCUUCUCUAAAAAAUUUAUUAAACAGUAAAACCUAAAUUCUACUUCCUUUAUAAUGGGUUAGAAUUACCUUAUUUAUAAUAAAUUAGGAUUAUCUUUAAAUAAUAAUAAAAAAAUUAAUUAUAUAAUAGAUUAAAUUUUAUAAUGGUAAAUUUAUUACUAUAUUUAAGAGAUAAUGAGAUCCACUUACUUACAUCAAAACAAACAACGGAACUUAAAAAACUAAUUUUAUCAGCACCAAGUUACAUAAAAACAAACAACAGAAGUGAUUGAAUUUAACUUUCAGGCGGUACGAAUUACGUCAAAACAAACAACAAAAAAAUAAUCACACUUCAGAAAAACUCAAACACCACUACACUUGACUUACGUUGAAUCUACAAAUACGUCAAUCCAAACGCCCCCUAAAUAUUACCGUAAAUAUUGUGACAUGUGACAAACUAUUGUGAUAAAAUAUACUUUACAACAAUUUAAUUCUUGAUACAAUAGAUUAAAUUAACAUAAUAAAAGAAUUUAUUAUAGUUAAUUCUUAUCCUUUCUCACUUUUUAUGAAACUGUUAUCAAGAAUUAAAAAGCAUCUAAUUAAUCAACACCUAAUUAUUGCACAAUUAAUAAUCUCAGACGAUUAUUUCGGAACAGUUGAAACAGUAUCUAACCAAUUUGAAUGGUACAGAAAUAUUCAUUUUCGUUCUGGGUGGGUAUGAAAUAGGACAAUAGUAGUUACUACUAUGAUUAAUAAUGCCGAGCUGCGUAAAAUAUUACCAAAAAUUUUCUUAUAAAUAUUUAUUUUUUAUUUUUUUAUUUUUAAAAAUUUAUAGUUUACCUUCUUAGUAUUUCAAGUUAUUAUAUUAAACCCCUUUUAGUCAGUGAUCACUAUUUUAUUAAUUUCUUAUAAUUUAUAUCAUAUUUUUUUUCAAAAUAAUAAAAAUAUAUUAAAAAUUAUUUUUUAUAAAAAAUAAGAAUAAUUUAGUCAUUUUAUCUUCUCCAUUAAUACCGUACUUCUCUAAAUAUAUUUCUAAAAUUUUAAAGAGGUAACAUAUAGAUUUUUGAAAGUUAAAAAGAGAAAAAAAAAAAGCAUAUAUUUAUAGAAAUAUUUUAUAUAAUUUAGCCUUUAAAAAAAA
rnacentral:lncRNA from 1 species